rnacentral:rRNA from 1 species
CGGGGGGCAGCAGUGGGGAAUAUUGCGCAAUGGGCGAAAGCCUGACGCAGCAACGCCGCGUGAGGGAUGAAGGCCUUCGGGUUGUAAACCUCUUUUAUCAGGGAAGAAGCGAAAGUGACGGUACCUGAAGAAAAAGCACCGGCUAACUACGUGCCAGCAGCCGCGGUAAUACGUAGGGUGCAAGCGUUAUCCGGAAUUAUUGGGCGUAAAGAGCUCGUAGGCGGUUUGUCGCGUCUGCUGUGAAAAUCUGAGGCUCAACCUCGGACUUGCAGUGGGUACGGGCAGACUAGAGUGCAGUAGGGGAGAAGGGAAUUCCUGGUGUAGCGGUGGAAUGCGCAGAUAUCAGGAGGAACACCAAUGGCGAAGGCACUUCUCUGGGCUGUAACUGACGCUGAGGAGCGAAAGCGUGGGGAGCGAACAGGAUUAGAUACCCGAGU